rnacentral:lncRNA from 1 species
CCUAUCAUAUAUAUAUAUAUACAUGCAAAUGAUUAAUUAAUGAUAAAUGAGCAAUAUUAUCCAGUACCGAUAGGAAAUUAUUGUAUAUGCAAUGAAAUUAUAUAUAAUAGUUACCUGUAAGACGGUUAUAGGACAGGUCAAGCACUUUGAGUCUUGAAAGAGCACCAAUUUCUGAUGGUAUCCUUCCGGAGAGAAAACGAGUGCCCCAAAUUCUGAAAGUUACGAGGUUGGGAAAGCAAGUGAAGUUGAGUUGGCUAAGCUCUGCUGCGUUGCCAUUAUUAUCCAUCUCGUCAGAACUUAUCUCAACUAUGCUUCCUGCUGAAUUGCAAGUGAUUCCCAUCCACUUGCAAUGAUCUGAAGUAUAGUUGGCCGUCGCCCGACUGCUAUUCCACCAGCCUGAAUUAAGUAAAGCUUCCCUUUCUAACUGUAAGGCUGACGAUGCAUCAGAUGCUGUUAGAACUGCAUUAUCAGUUAUAACAGGAACAAUAAUACUGCUUAUAAAAGUUAUAAUGACCACCAAUUUUGAAAUGGAGAAAUCCGGUGCCAUUUUUGUAAGUUUUUGGUUGAUUAGAUUCAGCGGGUGCAUGCCUGCUUUUAUAACUAAACAUUAAGUUUGACAGCAACACUCAAUCAUUUUUAGCCCGCGUUGAGCUUUCUCCCUCAUCGUCAAAAUUGGCAUGCGCGUUAUCAAACACAAGAGUCAGUUGAGUUAAUGUCUUUUUAGGCCACUAAUUCCUAUUUUUAAUUAAUUUCGCAAAGUAAAGGCUACAUGUGAUUCAUAUUCUAGCAACUUUCUAUUUCUUUCUUUACUUUUUAGUCCACUUUCCAUUCUCCCAAUUACUUUUCUAGAAUGGAGGAUUAUAUAUAUUCUAGUAACUUUCUUUUUCUUUCUUUUCCUUUUGGUACAUACUUUAUGCCCGAAUUUAGACCCCGACCGAAUUCCACCAAAUUGUUUUUGUUCUUUUCUUUUUUGUAAUUUUUUUUUUCGCCUUUAUAUGGGUUCAUUUGGGAUUUAUGUUCGGGGCGUAUAGGCAUAGCAUUGCUCUUUACUUUGUGUCCACUUUCCUUCAUCAUCAAAAUAUUCGAUAAUGUCGGGAAAUAUUAAAAUUUGUUCUUAAUUAACAAAGAAUUAAGCCGACUACCAUAUUUCGCCAAAAGUCAAAGGAAAAAUUUCCAUUCUCCGGUACAACAUAUUCUAUAAUUUAUAGUAAUUGUCUAUUUGGUAAUGCGAACGGUUAUUUACACUAAGCAAUAUUUUGAAUAUUUUGAGACCCAAGUCAUACUCAAUGCUAAAAAUAAAAUAAAUAUUUUUUCUUCGUACAGAAAAAAAUAUAAAUUACCAACAUGUGAUAGGAGUUCAUCGAUACUUAUAUCAUUAUCAUCAUCCAAACCUAUAUUUGCAUCGUCAAUUUGUCGAUCUAGAAAUGAGACUAGUACCUAUGUGCUUAAUAAAAAAAAUUAUUAAAAAAAUAUUACCUUUCAAGUAAUACAUUAUUUUGUUGUGUAUUAUAUACUAAAUCAAUGAUGUAUUCUAAAUAGAUGUUCACCCUCAAGUGGUAUCAGAUAUCUACAUCUAAAAUGAUGUGUCUUAAAAUUUAAUGAGAAAAAUAUACAUAUAUUCUAAGGUUUGGGGAAAUAACAUGCAUGAACCUUACCAUAUAAUAUAACUUUAUGAUCGCAUUUUGGUGGAUAUUAUGUAAUUCAUUAACUUUGUUGUCUAUUAUAUACUAUAUUAAUGAUGAAUUCUAACUAGAUGAAAUUCACUCCCAAGUAGUGUCUGAUAUGGCCAUAUCCAUGUGUCCUAUAACUUUACUGAAACAAAUUUUGGGGAAUUUAAGAAUCUUUUUCUUUUUAUAUUUAGGAAAAUUAAUAAUUCGAAGUAGCUGCCAUUUUAGUUGUGUUUAAAAUUGAUUGUCUUAAAAAUUUGGAAAAUAUAUGGGAAAAUUUUCAAAAUGAUAAAAGGGAUAAUGUAGACUGACACGUUUAAACAUGUGAACUCAUUAGUCGCCAAUUAUUUGAAACGCACGGCCAGGGGAUGCCGGGUGAUUAAACACGUGAGUAGAAAACUUUUCAGGUCACUGGCUUUUUCUGAGCCGACCACAAAUUAAAGCAAAAUUGGAGUCAAGGUCUUGCAGACAAGGAAAAGAAGACGUGUGUGUACUGCGAGUUCACAUUUGAGGGUUGACUGACAAAUUUGUCCCUUGUCAAGCUCGUCAAAGAAGCACCUAUAAAUUUCACUUGAGAAUAUAUAUAUUUUAUAUUUAUCCAAAGUGAAGGAUUUAAUUAAACAAAAUUCAGUCUCACGAAUGUUAAUAUACCGAAAAAAGUUAUACAAAAACCACUAUCAAAAUUUUGGAUAAUCUUGAGAAAUUUUAAAAUUUGUUCUUAAUUAACAAAGAAUUACGCCCAAUACCAUAUUUCGCCAAAUCUCAAAGGAAAAUUUUCCACUUUUCCGGUACAAUAUUUUCUAUAAUUUACGGUAAUUAUUAAUUGGUAAUGCCAAUGGUUUUUUACACUAAACAAUAUUUUCAGACCCAAGUCAUACACAAUGCUAAAACCAAAGUAAAUAUUUUUUUUUCAUUUGUACAGAAAAAAUAUAAAUUACCAAGUUCAUCAAUACUUAUUUCAUUUAUCAUCAUCCGAAUCUAUAUUUGCAUCAUCAAUUGUCGAUCUACAAAAGAGAAAUCAAAGAUGUUAAAAAUAUUUCUAAUAAUAAGAUAAAAAUUAAAUAUAAAGACUAGUACCUAGGUGUUUGAAUUAAAAAUAAUAAUCAUUAAAAAAUAUUACCUUUCAAGUAGUACAUAAUUUUAUUGUGUAUUAUAUACUACGUUAAUGAUGUAUUCCAAAUAGAUGAAACUCAUUCCCAAGUUGUGUCCAAUAUGGUGAUAUCCUUGUGUCUUACAAUUCCCAUAGGAUGCUAGAGCCAUAUGGAAGCAUAUAGAAGAUUGAUUGGUCGUGAUUAUUAACACUUUUGAAGGUUUAUUCUAUAUACAUGAUCAGCUGAACUUGUUCUCUUUAAUUUUCAUAAAUGCAUUGACACAGUUUUUACUUUUUGAUCAUUGGAUAUCCCUGACUUUAAGUUCAUCGAAUUCUAAACUAGGGAAUGCUGUUUGACUUACAACCAUAAUAGUUAGGAAGGUUAUAACUAGAUGGUCACAAUGGUUUUCAAUCACCGAUUGCUUUCUUACGGAACAGAAAAGAAAGGAAAGAUCAUAACUUCUCCCUCACCACCUUGUGUUAAUUGUCACUACUUAUUGUGGUUUAUUUUAUUUUUCAAAUCACAUUUGGUGACGGUUUCCAAUUCCACCAGCCGCAGAAAUCAAGUUGUAAUUCUAUUGUUUACAGAAUUUCAUUUCUGUUUACCAUUCAUCCUUGUAAUAUCAUAACAAGCAAUGUCAUACUUUUUACUUUUCAUAUUCUCAAAGUUCUUCAAAUCUUUUUAUUUCAAAUUGAAUGAAACAUUAAUUCUCAUUGGAUAAUCAACAUAUACUUGUCUUAGAGUCCUCAGGUGGACAACUUUUGGGGUUUUGGGUCCUCAUUUGUUGUACUAGUUGGUUCUUGAGGUAAAUAAAUCCAGGAUUCCUGAUAUUGAACAUUCAAUUUUCAUGUCUGAAACUUCCAAUAUCCAAAUUCACUCAUGCAAUACAACUACUCUAUUUUAAAUCAACUAGAUGGUUUCAGAUACAGAUUUUGUAUUUCCAACAUAAAAAAUCAUGCAAGCUUUUGAUACCCAAAAGACCAUGAUUGGAUUUUUUCUUCUCCCCUCCUCUCCCCUGUAUUGUCAAGUCAUCCAUAAAUUUUCUGCAAUGUCAGACUGUGCAAAAGGUAAUUUUAUCAGUGUAAGUGCUUGCAUUGUUCAUUUCUUCAGACAGCCAUUUACUGUGUCCAACAAUUCAUGCUGUGUUCACUAAUUAAAGCAACUACGGGUCAAGGUCAUUUUAAGUCGGGAAAAUGACUAGGGUGGUGUGAAUUCACACAUGAAACUUAAUUGGCAUAUUUGUCACUCGGCAAGCUCAAUGGACCCCUUUCAAAUUCACUUUAGAAUCUUUAUUUAUUCUUUAACCAAAGAUAAGGAUUUAAAUACAAAAAAUUCAGCCUCACGAAAGUUAUACAAAAAGCUAUUAAUGAAAUACAUUCAAGAUUAACAAUCACAUUGAUCAAUCAAAUACAUGCAUUGUUUCAUAAGUUCUGAUAUGGAAAUUUCUUCAACAACAGGUUUUCCCAAUGGUGAUUUCCCUGUGAGAAAUUCUUGAGAUACGCGUUGCAUGGUAGGUCGAGACUUGGGUUUUGACUGCAAGCAUGCAAAUGCAACUAUUGAAACAAGAAUAAUAACCUGAACAACCUUUUGAUCAAGUGGAGAUGGCAGACGUUGGUCUAAAAUAUCUAUCAACCUAAUCUUUCGUUCAGAUGAUGACGAUAAAGAUGAAAGAAGAUCUCCUGGAUGACUUCCCAUUAAUACUUCUAGUGCCACCACUCCAAAGCUAUAAACAUCACAUUUCUCUGUCACAGCCAUGGUGUAUGCAAGUUCUACAACAAAAUAGAACCCAUUGUAGAAUUUCUUUGCACAAGCAAAAAACAAAAUAUAUAUAUAUUUGAUUCACUGUUUCUGGAAGCUUCUGCAGCAAGAUAUUUAAGAGAUAUCUAAUUGAUUUUUAAAUACAUUCAAUGUGUAAACAUGAGUAAGAAGCAUGAAAAGAAUAGCUAAAGUUUACCUGGAGCAAUAUAUCCAUAUGUCCCCACCACUAGAGUUCUGUUGGAGGAAUCUGGAUGCAGGAGCCUAGCCAAACCAAAAUCAGCAACAAAUGCCUCUAGGUUUGAGUUAAGUAGAAUGUUAUUGCUGGAUAUGUCGCGGUGAACAAUUGAUGGCUUGCAGUCAUAAUGCAGGUAAGACAAAGCAUGAGCCAUACUCUUUACAAUGUUCACUCUCUUUGUCCAAUCCAGCUCAACAGCUUCAACGUCAUUGCGUAACACACAGAACAAGCUUCCCCGCUCCAUGUACUCAUAGAUCAAAAACAUGCACUUGUUGUGCAAACAAAAACCAUAAAGCUUCACUAUAUUACGAUGCCGUAUUUGGGAGAGUAGACGAGCUUCAGUUUGGAAACUUUCCAGGAAAGCUGGCUCCUCUGUCUCCGAACGGUGAAGUUUCUUCAAAGCGACUACUCUUCCACUGGACAAUUGUGCUCUGUAAACACUGCCAUAACCUCCGGUUCCAAUGCAAUAUUUGAUGUGGAAAUCCUCUGUCGCUUGAAUCAUCUCUUCAAAUGUAAUUCUACCAUCAUAAUUCCAUAUGGAGAACUCAUUAGCCCCCUCGGUCAUUUCUCGGGUAUUAGGAUUAAAUUUCUUAUCCUUUCGUCUAUGGACAAACAAGAUACCAAAAAUUAAGAUUGCGAAAAUAAAUGCCACCAUAGCGAGAAUGAUUGUGACCAAGCGAGUGACGAUCUUUUGCUGCUUCCCUUUGUUGCCCUUAAACUGUUUUGCUUGGGGUGGCGGUGCAUUUUCUGAACCAGUUGAGUUUUCUAACUCUAGAUUAUUUUCUGACACUAUCAAUUUGGGAAUUCUUCUGACAGAUGCAGGGAUAACGCCGGAGAGGUUAUUCUUGGAAAGAUCCACGGCAGAAAUGUUUGGAAUUUUUCCGAGUUGUGAAGGUAUCGUGCCAUUUAUGAAGUUACGGCUUAAAUCAAGUUGUCUCAAAAAUAUAAGGUUGCCUAUCUCCGAUGGAAUGCUUCCGCUUAAACUGUUGUGGCUUAAUACCAAGUUCAGUAACUGCGAGCAAUUCAUGAGUUCUGGAGGAAUGGAGCUGCUGAGCUGAUUAUAACCAAGAUUUAAAGAGGUGAGGUUGGUUAAAUAACCAAUUGUUGGAGGAAUGGGUCCAAUUAGAUUGUUCCCGUCAAGGGACAGAGAAUCAAGAUACUUCAGAUUUCCAACUUCCCGAGGCAGCAGACCACUAAGUUGGUUUGAAGAAAGAUCCAGAGAUGUUAAUUUGGUUAAAUUUCCUAUGGUCGGUAGAAUUGGACCAUUAAGUCUGUUGUGAGACAAGUCCAACUCAUCCAACAAGUUUAAAUAACCAAUGGUCGAAGGAAUAGAUCCAGUGAGAUUGUUCCUAUUCAGAAGCAAACGAUCAAGAUUCUUCAGAUUUCCAACUUCUUUAGACAGUGGACCAACAAGAUUGUUGUAAGCCAAGUACAAAAUGCUUAACUGAUUUAAAUGAUAAAGUGUUGAAGGAAUAGGCCCAGUUAGAUGGUUAUUAUCCAGAAACAGAGCGUCAAGAUUCUUCAGAUUUCCAACUUCUUGAGGCAGCCGACCACUAAGUUGGUUUAAAGAAAGGUCCAAAUGUGUCAAGUUAGUUAAAUUACCUAUGCUCGAUGGAAUUAGACCAUCCAGUUUGUUACCCUGCAACCUCAGUUCAUCAAGAUCCUUCAAAUUCCCAAAUUCUAAUGGGAUAGAACCAUUGAGAAUGUUAUUAGACAGAUCCAGUUUGAGAAGAUUCCUCAAACUCCCAAUCUCCGCGGGGAUAGUACCUAUCGUGUGUAUAUAUAUGCAUAUGAUUAAUUAACGAUAAAUAAGCAAUAAUAUCCGGUACAGAUAGGAAAUUAUUGUAUAUGCAAUGAAAUUAUAUAUAAUGGUUACCUGUAAGACUGUUAUCGGACAGGAAAAGCUCCUCGAGUUUUGAAAGAGCACCAAUUUCUGAUGGCAUCCUUCCUGAAGAAAAAAAGGAAAACAAAAAUAAUGUGUAUGAUUAAUUAAUGAUAAAUGAGCAAUAUUAUCCAGCACCGAUAGGAAAUUAUUGUAUAUGCAAUGAAAUUAUAUAUAAUGGUUACCUGUAAGACUGUUAUAGGACAAGUGAAGCUCCUCGAGUUUUGAAAGAGCACCAAUUUCUGAUGGCAUCCUUCCUAACGAAAAAAAGGAAAAAAAAUAAUGUGUAUGAUUAAUUAAGGAUAAAUGAGCAAUAUUAUCCAGUACGGCUAGGAAAAUAAUGUGUAUGCAUUGAAAUUAUAUAUAAUAGUUACCUGUAAGACGGUUAGAGGACAGGUCAAGCACUUUGAGUCUUGAAAGAGCACCAAUUUCUGAUGGUAUCCUUCCGGAAAGAAGAGUGCCCCGAAUGCUGAAAGUUACGAGGUUGGGAAAGCAAGUGAAGUUGAGUUGGCUAAGCUCUGCUCCGGUGAAAUUAUUAUCCAUCUCGUCAGAACUUAUCCAGACUACGCUUCCUGCUGAAUUGCAAGUGAUUCCUAUCCACUUGCAAUGAUCUGAAGUAUAGUUGGCCGUCGCCCGACUGCUAUUCCACCAGCCUGAAUUAAGUAAAGCUUCCCUUUCUAACUGUAUGGCUGACGAUGCAGCAGAUGCUGUUACAACUGCAUUAUCAGUUAUAACAGGAACAAUAAUACUGCUUAUAAAAGUUAUAAUGACCACCAAUUUUGAAAUGGAGGAAUCCGGUGCCAUUUUUA